CACGUAGGUGGGCACUUAAGUCAGAUGUGAAAUCCCCGGGCUUAACCUGGGAAUUGCAUUUGAUACUGGGCGUCUAGAAUAUAGUAGAGGGAAGUGGAAUUUCCGGUGUAGCGGUGAAAUGCGUAGAUAUCGGAAGGAACAUCAGUGGCGAAAGCGGCUUCCUGGACUAAUAUUGACACUUAGGUGCGAAAGCGUGGGGAGCAAACA
rnacentral:rRNA from 1 species